rnacentral:tRNA from 1 species
GUUGAGGUGGCAGAGCACGGUUUCAUUGCAAAAGAUUUAAGCUCUUUAUACAGAGGUUCAAAUCCUCUCCUCUACU